rnacentral:rRNA from 1 species
GAUGAACGCUAGCUACAGGCUUAACACAUGCAAGUCGCAGGGUAACAUGAGGACAGCUUGCUUUCCUUGAUGACGACUGGCGCACGGGUGAGUAACGCGUAUCCAACCUUCCCAUAACUACGGGAUAACCCGUUGAAAGACGGCCUAAUACCGUAUGAUAUCGUUUGCUGACAUCAAAUAACGAUUAAAGGUUUAGCGGUUAUGGAUGGGGAUGCGUCUGAUUAGCUUGUUGGCGGGGUAACGGCCCACCAAGGCGACGAUCAGUAGGGGUUCUGAGAGGAAGGUCCCCCACGUUUGAACUGAGACACGGUCCAAACUCCUACGGGAGGCAGCAGUGAGGAAUAUUGGGCAAUGGGCGAGAGCCUGAACCAGCCAAGUAGCGUGCAGGACGACGGCCCUAUGGGUUGUAAACUGCUUUUAUGUGGGGAUAAAGUGCGUGACGUGUCAUGCAUUGCAGGUACCACAUGAAUAAGGACCGGCUAAUUCCGUG